AAGAUUUGGUGACUCACUAAGUUGUAUCUCGAUGUCUUCGUCCUGCGAUCUCGUCACACGGUGGUGUUCUGUAGUUGGUUUGAGUUCCCCAAAGAUUCCAAUCUUAAAAGGGUUUGAGUUUCAAUCCAUAGUAUCAUUUCAAUUUCGUUGGUUUGGGUUUGGAUAUUGAAAGGGUUUUUGUGUUAUUUAUUUCUAAUUUUGAUCGCAUAUAGUUACGAAUUGCUCGAAGCUGUUUUAGAGAUAGAGAGAUUUGAUGUGAUGGAAACAUGUGUCAAAUUCGGACCAGGAGUUCCUGGGUUACAAUUUGGUAUACGAUUUGGAGUUGGUUGUGGAAUUGGUGUAGGUUUUGGCGAUAGUGUGGGAAGAGGAGCUGCUUAUGAUCACUCUCGUUCUUAUUGUAACAUUGGGAAGCCAUCUUUCAUGAGAACAUAAACAAAUCUUAAUUUCCUUGUGUAAGGUUUUUCUCGACAGUAGCCAUAGUGGCGCCACCAUGGAGGAUACAUAAUGAUGACACAACAACUAACAACAAAUGAUGUUGAUGAUACAAUUUGUGGUUUUGUUUCAUCAUUUGUGGUUUAAGAAUCAGACAAAUAAUUUUAUCAAAGUUGUUAUCAUUAAAUUUAAUAUCAU